UACAGAGGUCUCAAGCGUUGUUCGGAUUCAUUGGGCGUAAAGGGUGCGUAGGCGGCGCGGUAAGUCGGGUGUGAAAGCCCGGGGCUCAACUCCGAAACUGCAUUCGAUACUGCCGUGCUUGAGGACUGGAGAGGAGACUGGAAUUUACGGUGUAGCGGUGAAAUGCGUAGAUAUCGUAAGGAGACCAGUGGCGAAGGCGGGUCUCGUGGACAGUUCCUGACGCUGAGGCACGAAGGUCAGGGAGCAAACGGG
rnacentral:rRNA from 1 species